rnacentral:rRNA from 1 species
AUGCCGGCAUCGCAGUGCCCAGAGACACCGCAGAUGAAAUAUCGGGUCCCAGCGAUGGCAAGCGGAACAACAUCGUUACCGGUCGGGAAAGUCGCUAUGGGGCUGGAGCAGUUGCAAGAGUCAUACCCCGUCUUGCUCACCUCCACCACGUUGCGCACGGCGGUGGAGUACUGGAACUUGAGCUCAUCGCCGGUGGUGAACCUCAUUCUCGAAACCCACUAG